rnacentral:rRNA from 1 species
UGCAGUCGAACGCUUGCUUUCCUCCCGAGUGCUUGCACUCAAUUGGAAAGAGGAGUGGCGGACGGGUGAGUAACACGUGGGUAACCUACCCAUCAGAGGGGGAUAACACUUGGAAACAGGUGCUAAUACCGCAUAACAGUUUAUGCCGCAUGGCAUAAGAGUGAAAGGCGCUUUCGGGUGUCGCUGAUGGAUGGACCCGCGGUGCAUUAGCUAGUUGGUGAGGUAACGGCUCACCAAGGCCACGAUGCAUAGCCGACCUGAGAGGGUGAUCGGCCACACUGGGACUGAGACACGGCCCAGACUCCUACGGGAGGCAGCAGUAGGGAAUCUUCGGCAAUGGACGAAAGUCUGACCGAGCAACGCCGCGUGAGUGAAGAAGGUUUUCGGAUCGUAAAACUCUGUUGUUAGAGAAGAACAAGGACGUUAGUAACUGAACGUCCCCUGACGGUAUCUAACCAGAAAGCCACGGCUAACUACGUGCCAGCAGCCGCGGUAAUACGUAGGUGGCAAGCGUUGUCCGGAUUUAUUGGGCGUAAAGCGAGCGCA